rnacentral:rRNA from 1 species
AUUGAACGCUGGCGGCAGGCCUAACACAUGCAAGUCGAACGCGAAAGUCCUUCGGGAUGAGUAGAGUGGCGGACGGGUGAGUAACGCGUAGGAAUCUGUCCGGUAGUGGGGGAUAACGUUCCGAAAGGAACGCUAAUACCGCAUACGCCCCAUGGGGGAAAGCGGGGGAUCUUCGGACCUCGCGCUAUCGGAGGAGCCUGCGUCGGAUUAGCUAGUUGGUAGGGUAAAGGCCUACCAAGGCGACGAUCCGUAGCUGGUCUGAGAGGAUGAUCAGCCCCCCCGGAACUGUGACACGGUCCGGAUUCCUACGGGAGGCAGCAGUUGGGAAGAUUGAGCAAUGGGGGCAACCCUGACGCAGCCAUUCCGAGUGUGGGAAGAAGGCGUUCGGGUUGUAAAGCACUUUCAGAGGUGAGGAAAGGGCGCUGGCUAAUAUCCAGCGCAGUUGACGCUACCCUCAGAAGAAGCACCGGCUAUUUCCGUGCCAGCCGCCGCCGUAACAC